AUUGAACGCUGGCGGCAGGCCUAACACAUGCAAGUCGAACGAGAGGCGGACGGGUGAGUAAUGUCUGAGACACUGCCAGAGGGAGGGGGAUAACUACUGGAAACGGGAGCAAAUAGCGCAUACCAUCGGCUGGGCCGAGAUGGGAUUAGCUAGGAGGUGGGGUAACCGAUCACCUAGGCGACGAUCCAUAGCUGGUAUGAGAGGAUGACCAGCUACACUGCAACUGAGACACGGUCCAGACGCCGACGGGAGGCAGCAGUGGGGAAUAGUGCACAAUGGGCGCAAGCCUGAUGCAGCCAUGCCGCGUGUAUGAAGAAGGCCUUAGGGUUGUAAAGUACUUUCAGCGAGGAGGCGUUACUCGCAGAAGAAGCACCGGCUAACUCCGUGCCAGCAGCCGCGGUAAUAC
rnacentral:rRNA from 1 species